rnacentral:rRNA from 1 species
GACGAACGCUGGCGGCGUGCUUAACACAUGCAAGUCGAACGGAAAGGCCCUGCUUUUGUGGGGUGCUCGAGUGGCGAACGGGUGAGUAACACGUGAGUAACCUGCCCUUGACUUUGGGAUAACUUCAGGAAACUGGGGCUAAUACCGGAUAGGAGCUCCUGCUGCAUGGUGGGGGUUGGAAAGUUUCGGCGGUUGGGGAUGGACUCGCGGCUUAUCAGCUUGUUGGUGGGGUAGUGGCUUACCAAGGCUUUGACGGGUAGCCGGCCUGAGAGGGUGCCGGCCACAAUGGGACUGGGGUUCGGCCCAGAAUUCUUCGGGAGGGAAGCGGUGGGGAAAAUGGCCAAAGGGGCGGAGCCUGAAGGCAGAACGCCCCGGGCCGGAUGGCCGGCUUCCGGGUGGAAACCGGUUUCGCCCUGUACGGAAGGGUAGGUACGGUAAUGGGGAAAGAAGCCCCGGCUAACUACGGU